CAACACCCUCCAUCUCCAUCAAGUCAUCCAUAUUCUUUUAUGAACACCCAAGUGGCUUCUUGGUCUUAAGUAGGAGACUGCAAAAGACCCCCCUCCUCCCAUAACUUCUCUUGGCCCAGCAGGAAAAGCCCUACAGUCCCUAUCCAUGCUGUGUGACUUUGGGUGUGUGCCUGCCCUACCUGGGCCCUGGUCUUUCUCAUAAAGGAAUCACAGUCUGUUUCCAAUUGUACUCGUCUGCCAGUCUAGGAAAUGAGAAAACACGCAGACUCGGCCAUUAUUAUCACUCUCCCAUCUUCUCACAGCCCACUAUGCUCCAGCCACUCUGAACUCCUGCCACUCCCCAGAUAUACCUCGUGAAAGGAGGAUGUGGCAGAACGACAGUGGGCUGGUUCUGAGCCUCGGCCUCAAGAGGACAAACAUGUCCACUCUCUUGGACCCCUGCCACUGCUGCCAUGAGGACAGCCUGGGCUGACCCACUGGAGGAUGAAGGAACUGCAGAGAGGCCCCAUCCACCCUCACCCAGGCCCGCCUAGACCUGACAGCCCCAGUCAACUAGGGUGACCCACUGCUUCAGUUUGCCCAGGAUUGAGGGGUCACCAGGGAUGUAGGUCUUUCAGUGCUAUAACUGGGGCAGUUCCAGGCAAACCAGGACGGUUGAUCACCCUACAGUUGACUCACCAGCUGAUUCAGGUGCAGGAAUAAGCCCAC